ensembl:lncRNA
GCCACAGGUCGGCCCAAGAAUCAGCCCACAGUGUGUCUGGGCGUCAGAUGGUGACGUCCCGUGGAGAGCGCAGGCUCUGACACAGAUUCCACACUCCCAAGCGCCCACCUCGGACACCCUCUGGGCUUCUGCAUUACUUGGCACUGACCGCUUCCUGCACCGGGCUUCCAGUGGGCCUUUUUGGCCAGUCCAGGUGAACUUUUAAGAAAGCAAAGAGCUAUAAAAUACCUUGAUUGUUCUAACUCCAGUGAACUGCAGAUCUAUGAAGAAGCAACGGCUCUUCCAUCAUUCUUCAAUCCUGAAAAUAAAACUAGAAACUUGGAUUCAUAUCUGGCUCUACUGUAUUAUGUGACUGGAAUAAAAUCACUGUGAUUGUAAACUUUUUCAAGUAUUUCAUAAUUUUCAGUCUUGCCUUCUAACGUCAACACCUGC